rnacentral:rRNA from 1 species
AUUGAACGCUGGCGGCAGGCUUAACACAUGCAAGUCGAGCGGUGAUGAGGCGCUUGCACCUUAUCUUAGCGGCGGACGGGUGAGUAAUGCUUAGGAAUCUGCCUAUUAGGGGGGGACAACAUUCCGAAAGGAAUGCUAAUAGCGCAUACGUCCUACGGGAGAAAGCAGGGGAUCUUCGGACCUUGCGCUAAUAGAUGAGCCUAAGUCGGAUUAGCGAGUUGGUGGGGUAAAGGCCUACCAAGGCGACGAUCUGUAGCGGGUCUGAGAGGAUGAUCCGCCACACUGGGACUGAGACACGGCCCAGACUCCUACGGGAGGCAGCAGUGGGGAAUAUUGGACAAUGGGGGGAACCCUGAUCCAGCCAUGCCGCGUGUGUGAAGAAGGCCUUAUGGUUGUAAAGCACUUUAAGCGAGGAGGAGGCUACUGAGACUAAUACUCUUGGAUAGUGGACGUUACUCGCAGAAUAAGCACCGGCUAACUCUGUGCCAGCAGCCGCGGUAAGAC